GCGGAACUAUUAGUUUUGCCAUUGGAUUGACCACGAUGUACAAAUGUUAUCGAUAAACAAUUGGAGGGCAAGUCUGGUGCCAGCAGCCGCGGUAAUUCCAGCUCCAAUAGCGUAUAUUAACGUUGUUGCAGUUAAAAAGCUCGUAGUUGAAUUGAAGUGAACUUGGGUUGAUGUGCUCUUCCGAUGACCUGAGUCCAAGUUGACUCUUUCCAAGGUCAGGACAAUGGCGUUCAUUUAUCUUUGUAUUGUGUUUGGUCAU
rnacentral:rRNA from 1 species